AAGCUUGUAAUUUUUUUUUUUUUUUUGUAUUAUUAUGGAGAUGAAUCGUGUGUCUAUUAGUCAAUUAAAUGAUAAUAUCCAUGCAUGGGUUAUUCGGGUUCAAGGGAUUGUCUAUUUAAAUGAUGUUCAGGUGUCAGAUGAGGUGUUACAAUUAUAUUCUACGUAUUAUAUAGGAAGUACGACAGUUCGUAGAUUAACGAAUAAUUGAGUAGUUCUUGGAACAGUUGCCUUCGAGUUAGUGAUUACACAAUAUAGCUUUAUUCAGUUGGUUGAUCCAUCACUGAGAUUGCCAAUUGAUAAUAUAUAUAAUUUUACUCCGUUUGCGAAUCUGGGUUCCUUGAGAUAUUUCGGAGAUUCGAGCUUAGCAAUUCUUGCUAUUGUGAUUUGAAGUCUUACCCUUGCAAAUAUUUAUUAUCGGAGGAAGAUAUAUACGGGUUCAAGAGUUUAUUAUACUAAAUGAGGAGAUGAGACCAAUGAUAUUUGCCAUGUGGGAGGAUUUUCUCGAGUCAGAAGGGAUGCAUCUUGUUCAGAUUGCGAAUGAACAUCCAGUUGUUUUAAUCUGUAGGCCUAAAGGGUGUCACUUGCUACACAGGAACAUACCAUUGUUAUGUAUAAUGUCGAUAUUUCACGAGCUCGUGAAUUACACGAGUGGUACGAAGCCAUGCCAGGAGAUGGGGGUAGUUAAAUUGUACGAGAUGUUUUGCCGGUCCAAUGCUGUUGUUGGAAUUAUAGCUAUGCAAUUAUUGGUAAAAAUGCUUUGAGUUGGUGUAGUUUGGUUGCUUGAAGGAGUUAGGCGUAGUUUAAUGGAAUGAGUUGUAAAAUAAUUCUAAGUUGAGUCAUGGCUGUUUUGUCGUAUUUAUCUUGUUGGUGUUCAUAGCUUUUUUGGUUUAGUCUGUUAGGAGCAGUAAGUGUGUGUAAAAAUUAGAUAAUACUGGCUUGUAUUCUAUUUAUCUUUAGCAUUACUGUGCAUUUCAUAUUUACUCAGAGAUGUUUGUUACAUUGAUCAGGUACGAAAGUUGUGCUCUUUAAGCAAAAGUCCUAAUUUAUGUACAUAAGGUAGUUUACUUAGACAAAAGUUACUACAUUGGUAUUGGUAUUUUUGGUGGCAGCGCAAAUUUUUUCUACUUUGCGACGCUUCGUCGUAACUUCCGAGCUUGGAUAAGGGAGGCGCUUUGACUGGAGCUGGACAUUUUCUUCUUCAGUGGUAGUCUGAGUCGCAGGAUCUGAACAAAAGUCUUGAUCUUUGUACAUUAUGUGGUCCACCUAAACAAAAGGUAUCACAUUAGUAUUUAUUUUCUUGAUAGCAAGACAGGUUAUUCAUGGCUUAUGACGCUUUGGUGUCAUCUCCGAGCUUGGAUCAAGGAGGUGUUUUGACUGAAGCCGACCUUUCUCUUCUUCACUGGUACUUUCACUUGCAGAUGUGACUGUUAGUUGUGAAGUUGAGGUGUAGUUAUCAGUAGUUGAAGCCGAGAUAGCUAUAGAUCCCGAUGCCUCGGAUUCAGUAUUAGAAAGAUGGGUCGGAUUGGCAAUGCAUUGUUGCGGUAAUAUUGGGAGGCAUGCUACAAUAUUGUGGCGAGGGUUGUGUAUGAACUGGACUGACCUUGUUGUAUUUCUAACUUGGAUAUAGUAGUGAGUGUUUUGUAGCCUGUUAUUGAUGGUGGCUAUGACAGGUGUCGUGCCUGUGCAAUAAUAAAUACCUGCU